ACGCAUCACUGGUGUUCGGGUUGUCAUGCCAAUGGCACUGCCCGGUAGCUAAAUGCGGAAGAGAUAAGUGCUGAAAGCAUCUAAGCACGAAACUUGCCCGAGAUGAGUUCUCCCUGAGACUUUAAGUCUCCUGAAGGAACGUUAGAAGACGACGACGUUGAUAGGCCGGGUGUGUAAGCGCAGCGAUGCGUUGAGCUAACCGGUACUAAUGAACCGUGAGGCUUAACCUUACAACGCCGAAG
rnacentral:rRNA from 1 species